rnacentral:rRNA from 1 species
UACGGGGGGGGCAAGCGUUAAUCGGAAUUACUGGGCGUAAAGCGUGCGCAGGCGGUUUUGUAAGUCUGUCGUGAAAUCCCCGGGCUCAACCUGGGAAUGGCGAUGGAGACUGCAAGGCUAGAGUUUGGCAGAGGGGGGUAGAAUUCCACGUGUAGCAGUGAAAUGCGUAGAUAUGUGGAGGAACACCGAUGGCGAAGGCAGCCCCCUGGGCCAAUACUGACGCUCAGGCACGAAAGCGUGGGGAGCAAACAGG